rnacentral:piRNA from 1 species
UGGUCAGGGGAUAAGUACGUCUGUGGA